GACGAACUGUCCUAACGUUGUUCGGAAUCACUGGGCUUAAAGGGCGCGUAGGCGGUCCGACAAGUCAGGGGUGAAAUCCUGCAGCUUAACUGCAGAAGUGCCUUUGAUACUGUCGGUCUCGAGGGAGAUAGGGGUGUGCGGAACUUCCAGUGGAGCGGUGAAAUGCGUUGAUAUUGGAAGGAACGCCGGAGGCGAAAGCGGCGCACUGGAUCUCUUCUGACGCUGAGGCGCGAAAGCUAGGGGAGCAAACGGG
rnacentral:rRNA from 2 species